rnacentral:rRNA from 1 species
UGGGGGGAUAUUGCACAAUGGGGGGAACCCUGAUGCAGCGACGCCGCGUGGGUGAAGAAGCGCCUCGGCGCGUAAAGCCCUGUCAGCAGGGAAGAAAAUGACGGUACCUGAAGAAGAAGCCCGGCUAACUACGUGCC